AAAAAAGCAAACCCUGAGUUUCCGUGCCAACGUUUGACUGUCCGUCUUAUAUGAUUUUUUUUAUAAUUAGUAUUUUUAUUGCUGUUAUAUGAUAAAACAUGAUUAAUAUUUUAUGCGUGACUUAUCUUUUUAAUUUUUUUAAAUAAAACGGAUGGUCAAACGUUGGAUACGGAAACCAGGGUUUGUCUUUUU
rnacentral:pre_miRNA from 1 species